GAUGAACGCUAGCUACAGGCUUAACACAUGCAAGUCGAGGGGAAACGGCAUCGAAAGCUUGCUUUUGAUGGGCGUCGACCGGCGCACGGGUGAGUAACGCGUAUCCAACCUGCCCAUCACUUGGGAAUAACCUUGCGAAAGUAAGACUAAUGCCCAAUGACAUCCCACGAAGGCAUCCGAAUGGGAUUAAAGAUUUAUCGGUGAUGGAUGGGGAUGCGUCUGAUUAGCUUGUUGGCGGGGUGACGGCCCACCAAGGCAACGAUCAGUAGGGGUUCUGAGAGGAAGGUCCCCCGCAUUGGAACUGAGACACGGUCCAAACUCCUACGGGAGGCAGCAGUGAGGAAUAUUAGUCAAUGGGCGAGAGCCUGAACCAGCCAAGUAGCGUGCAGGAUGACGGCCCUAUGGGUUGUAAACUGCUUUUAUAAGGGAAUAAAGUGGGUCACGUGUGACUUUUUGCAUGUACCUUAUGAAUAAGGACCGGCUAAUUCCGUG
rnacentral:rRNA from 1 species